CAAACCCAAUCAACCAAUAUCAGCUCCUCCGGCAGGGCUUUUGGUUCAAUGGGUCUCCUCCCACACACCAGCUCCAGCAGGAGAGCACCAAGAGCAAACACAUCCGAGCUCGGAGUCGGUUUUCCGGUCCGAGUCAACUCCGGAGCGAGGUAACCCAGUGUCCCAGCAACCCUAGUUGUUGUAGGGUUUGCUCCAUGCUCAUACAAUUUAGCAAGACCGAAAUCUCCAAGCCGUCCGUUCAUCUCAGAAUCCAAAAGAACGUUUCCUGCUUUUAUGUCCCUAUGAAUCACAGUCUGCUCCCAACCUUCGUGCAAAUACAAUAAGCCAGAAGCUACAUUUUGAGCUAUCUUGAACCUCUGUUCCCAGCUCAAAAUUGCUUUUGGCUUCUCAAAUAAAUAUUUAUCCAAGCUCCCAUUAGGCAUAAAAUCAUACACAAGCAGCAAAUCUCCGCGCCGGCGACACCACCCCAACAACUGCGCUAAAUUCCUGUGCCUGAGACGGCCAAUGGUGGCGAUUUCCGACACGAAUUCCUGCAGACCCUGCCUCGACUCGUUCGAAAUUCGCUUAACCGCCACUUGGGUUUCUGAAUUCGGCAAUGUCCCUUUGUAAACCUUACCAAAUCCACCAAACCCGAUCACCUCUUUAUCCCUGAACCCUCUGGUGGCCUGCUUCAGGUCGUUGUACCUGAAUCUAUGAGGCCCAAUGUCGAGCUCCCACGGCUCGAUCACCUCGGCGUUCUUGAUCCUGUGAACAAUGUAGAAGCCCAAUCCGGCGGCCAAGAUAAAGAAAACAAGAACAGAAAGAGAAACGCCAACGAUCAGCGCUGAUGAAUGCUUCUUUUUACGGCGGGGAAGUUUAGGCAGAGCUUCUAAAUCCAGAGAUUUGGCUUCUCCGUUCAUCUUAAAGCUCCAACCGGAGACGUAGUGGGAGCUGGCAAGCAACCCGGUCGAAGCAGAGAACCCAACGUACAUAAAAUCUUUCAAAAUUGGAGAAAGAUCGACAUCGAAUGUUAAAAUCGGGGAUCUGGGUUUGAUCGAAUAGGGUGAAAGCAUGACAGUGACUUGAUUUUUCACCGAAUCGUAAUCGACCCAGGCCUGGAUCGGCAGUCCACUCUUGAGAUUGAGGUUCUCUUUCGUCGAAUUUCCACCGCUGAAAAACCCGGCUGGGGUCGAUUUGUUGGAAGCCAGGGUGUUGAUAUCGAUUCCGACAUGGUUGUCGUUGAUGUCCCCGAAUUCGAAGUCCUUGACUGUGUCGAAUUCGACGGCAAAGAUGUGGUUGGAGAAGUUGCCGACGACGGUGGAGUUGAGGAUGCCGAGGUACUGGCUGGGGAGGGAUCCCGGGAGCGAUUUCGACGGCGAGAUUAUGAAGGCAAGGCCGUGGCCGCCGAGCUUUGGGUACUGCGGGACGAUGGUGAAUACGAAGGAGGUGGAGAAGGAAAAGGCUUUGCCGUCGGUAGAGCUUUUGAAUCGGACUGGGGCGGAGUAGAAGGCGUGGCCGAGGACUCUGAGAGUGUCGUUUGUGAGCUUUAGCAUGCCGUUGGGCUCGAUUGAUGCGACGCCGUUUAAGCUCAUGUUGCUGCUGUUGGAGACGCCAUUGAAGCCGUUUAAGUAGAGCUCUUGGUCGAGCUGGGUUUUUGUUGGGUUUGGGAGGAAGAGGAGGAAAACCCAGCAAAGUAUGAGUCUUUGGAAUCCCAUAGGAAGUAGAGCCGUAGAGGUCGACUCUUUGCUGGGUCUCUAUUAAGCACAUGGCAAUGGAGUUCAGUACCAAAUAUAACUAAAAUUUCACCUUUAAUUUUUAAAAUAUCAUAUAUUUUUAAAAUAAACUUUAAAAUCUCUCAAAAAAAAAAAACAAAAUAAACUUCAAAAGACUUAAGUGCCUUCAACUUAUGUGGGCUCCUGGAAUGUUCUCUCCGUACCCAGUAAAUUAGUAAUUGUAAAAUUUACAUAUGCAGAUGGGAAUUUUUCUAUCCUUUCCUUUUUAUUUUUUUGUAUGCUUUUUUUACUUUUAGAGUUUUGGAUCUUGAUUAUUUCCACAUUUCCCAAUCCAAUAAGUAGAAAGAACAGUUUUUCGUUUUGUUCGUGACGCAUUUUUAAAGGCAAAUGUGGGCGGGUCAAUUGGGUUCGCGGGAUAAAGAAUCACCUCAUCAAUCAUAGUAGAAAAUGGUUUGAGAGCGCGUUUACUAAUCCAUAAUUAGAUUUAGGGGAAUUGAAUUAAGGAGGAAUUAGAAUAAGCGAUAAUUGGAAUGAGCUGGAAUCAGAAUUAGAUUCAUGUUGAAACUGUUUACCAAAAUUGUCUGAAAUCGGAGUAGAAAUGACAUUGAUCUAUAUAAAUUGUUUACUAAUUCAUAUGAAUCGAAAUAAAAUCUAAUAUAAUUACUAAAGUACCCAUGCUUAACUAAUCUAUUUUAUUUGCUAAUUAUUUUUGGUAAAACUUUUACUCUUUCAUUUUUUUUUAUUUUUUAGAGAGAAUUUUUUUAAGUAAAACUUUUAGUACAAUUUAAUAUGAAAGAAUAUUUUUUAUUUGCGUCUACAUAUUUGAGAAGAUUCUUAAUCACCCUAAUUUAUUUCCUCUUCUCUUUCUCCCCCUCUCCCUAGUCUCUUUUAGUAGCCGCUCUCGCUUGACCAAAACGCUCUCACCCACACCAUCCUCUCCAAUACCCACCACCACUACCGUCUCUCCUCAUUCCUCUCCUCCCCCAUCCUCUUCUCUCUCACCCUCCACGGCCUCAACUCACUCCCCCUCAUCCACAAGAUUAUCCUCAACGCCAACCACGUUCUCUCUCAUCCUUCUUCCAUGCCGUUCGUGGAUGUUCACCAAAUCCUCGUUGACAAACGCCCUGGGGAAUAAGGGUCUGCCAUUCACACCAAUCCAAGCAAUCAAUUUCUGACUUGCAGCCCUAAAUUGGUUUGCAACAUUUGCAUAAAGAAAGGUCUGCCGUUCUAGGACUUGUUCCAUAAGAACAUGACUCGGCCCGGCGUUCCGCCCGGGUUUGCAGUGUGUAAGGGCGGUGUCGUGGUGGUGGUCAAGGUGUAAGGAGUCGGCAUAGGAGAAACGAAGGAGAGGGUGCGCUAUUGGUGGGUGCAAGGGUAUUUUUGGGUAGAAAUGUUUGAUUCCAGAGGGAGGCUUCCUCCGGGAAUUCAAUUACCACCUCCAUGUAGGUAAUUGAAUUCUGAAAGAUUAAGGAAUUCGAUUCCGGAUUUUAAGUGGAUCCCAUUUACUUUUUCAUUCCCUACAUGUUAGUAAACGCCGAAAUGCUUCGAGUGGAAUGGGAUUCCGUUUCUUUCUAUUCCAUUCCCGUUUGGUAAAUACGCCCUGAGUUCAAUUAAUUGACUCGAGUCAAAUUGAAUCUGGAUCCUUUUUGUGAGGAUUCCGGAGAUUCGUGAAUCAUACAUCAUGCGAUCAGAAAUUAUUUUAAAUAUCAACACAAAUAGUACCUGACAAAAACUAACUGCACGAUGUACGAUAAACAGACACAAUUUACGGAUCUCUAGGAUUCUCACCAUGAUGACCCAUCCCUAAUUUUCUAUGUCAUUUCCUUCCCAAGUAUAUAAAAUGACGAUUAUCCCCUUGUUGGCAAAGUGGAACUUGACGUGGACGUUGUUAUUCAGCUUUUAAUUUAAUAAUUCGUUACUAUUCAUCCAAAGAAAAAUCAGAUGGAUUACUAUUCAUAUGAAGAAAAAUCAGAUGAAUUACUAUUCAUAUGAAGAAAAACGGAUGGGUUAGUAUUCAUGCAUAGUAUUUUCACUAUUCAUUUGAGGAAAAUUUGUAAAAUGAAUAGUGUUGCUACAGUAAUCUUUCCAACUUUAAAAAUCAAUCAUUCUCACCCACCAUGCCUAUCGAUUAAUCAUUCUCCUUAUUUUAUUUUACUCAUUAAUUAGACAUUCUCUCUCUCAGCUUCUCGUUCUCUCUCUCUCUCUCUCUCUCUCUCUCUCUCUCGUCGUGUCUCCCUCUUCCCUCUGCAAUACAGACACCAUCAAAACACUCCUAGCAUCCCUAGAAACAUGAAUCCAACCUAGGGUUUUUGAAAAUUAGAGUCCAACUGCGAGUCCUACAUCCUCCAUUGAAGCCGCGACUUUCCCGGCCAAUUUCUCGUCUAUUCCAGCCAAGCUGAGGUCUCUAACCAUCAUAUUUGGAUUCCUCUCGUUGAGUAGAUGACUUUUCAUAUAUAGAUUGUCGAUUUUGGUUAAGAAUUGACAAAGUUAUGGACGUCUAAAGUUUUCCAUUUUUUUGGCGAGUUCCCCAGUUUUCCCUCGGACCAGUUACGUUUCAGACCAUUUUCUAGCCAUCUCUAGCAACCAUUGGGCUUUCAAAUAGGUAUAAUAUUGUUCUACACUUUCCUAGAUUCAUUUUGAUAUAUUAUGGGCAAAAUUUGGUUAAGAAAUGAACUCGUUAUGACCAUUUGAUAUAUAUUAAUAUGACUUAUUUUUAGCUACGUCUUCUGGAACCUGUUUUUAAUCUCACUUUACUCUUUGUAACUAAAAAAUUGUCACUUUACUCCUUAAAAAUCAAAGUUCGCUUCACUUCCUUUUGAACUCGAUUUUGAUCCUAUUUACCCCCUGAAACUUGAAAGUCGUCUCUAUAAAAAUCAAAAUUCACUCCACAUUGCCUUAGAUCUAUUAAUUUCUUAUGUCGAUUUGAUAUGAGUGUGACAAGCUAAUCAAUUUAUUUUUUAUUUUUUUCGUCUCUUUAAUUUCUUUCAAAUUUAAUAUUCUCUAAUUGUUGAAUGUUAAUGCAUAAUGGAGAUUUAUAAUCAAAUUUAUUGGACUUGUGGCAUUGUCUUAUUAGGUGCUGGGUGCCACAUAUGUUUUUGGAGGCGACAUAUAAGUUUCAGGGAGAAGAGAUAGUUCAUAAUUCAAAGUGAAAAGAAUUUUGAAUUAAGGAGUAAAAUAGUAAUUUUUGAGUUAUAGAGGGCAAAAUGAGAUCAAAAAUUUUUUUUUAGGGGGCAUAGCCAAAAUAAGCCUCUUAAUAUUAACAAUGGACAAUUUCCUGCUGCUUGAAGCCCUGCAGCUAGGGGUGGGCAAACGGGUACAUGAACCGCGGGUAGGGGCGGGUAAUUCAGGUUUGGGGCGAGUCCAAAAUUUCUAAACACAAAACGGGACGAGGCGGUUCGGGUAUAUGAAAUUAUCGGGGUGGGGCAGGUCUUAAAAUAGGAGGGAACGGGCCCUCAGCUCGGCUCGUUUCUUUUCCUCAUCCCUAGUCUUCUCAAUCUCUCAUCCCUGACUCUUUUCAUUUCACUCAUACCUCGAGACCUCCUCCUAACUCGCUCACAGCCUCCUACUGUCCCAGCUCCGUACGCCACCACCAUCAUCGUAAGACCUCAAUCUCUCCUGAUUCACUCAUGUCUUCCUCGCUUUGUCCGUUGCCAUCAUCAUAGGCCUCGAUCUCUCCUGACUCACUCUCUGGAAAUCACUCUCUCUAACGAACUCAAAGGGACAUACGAAGUCAAACAACUCGAAACGACGUCUCCUCUGUCUAACCCAUAUUUGUAGGGCACGACUAUACUCAUAGUCCUCUUUAGUUUUAAGGUAUUACAUUUUAGGAUUUAGGAUUGAAAAUUAAAUUAGGGUUUUCUAGAUUUAGGGAUUUUGUUGGGUUUUUGAACCUUGACUUAUGUUAUGUUCCAAUUUCAAAUCUUUUAUUGAAUUGAAUUUGAAUCGAUUGAGUUUGAAAGUUCUGUUGAAUUAAAUUUAAUUUGGGUAGAAGAAAAGGUAGAUCUGAGUAGGGCAGUGUCGAAUCUCAUUGUGGGUGGCGAUUUGGAACUGGGUUUGGUGGGUUUGGGUCUAAUGGUGAGGUGGGCAUGGGCGAAGACGACAUUGAGUGGCGGUGGUUCGGGCGAUGCUAUUGAGUUAUAGAAGAAUACGAAGGAGGGGGUGUGGGCAUGGGUGGAUAUCGCAAUCUCAAUUGAAUUUUUUCUGGUUUUGUUUGUGAUUAAUUGGUUGUUUGUGAUAGUUAGUGAUGGAUUUUGACAUGCCCAUUUGAUUGUAUCAAAUUCAAACCGAUUGAAUUGUAUCCUAGGAAAAAAAACACAAAGGAACUGUGGACCUGUCCCGUUUCAACCAGGUCGGGUUAGGUCCGGUUCCUAUAUUAGAAAAUGUUGUCCCCGGCCUGCCCUGGCCCGUUUCUCUUAAGCCCGGGUUCAGUCCAGUCCCUUCGAAAUUGUGCCUAGCCCGGUCCGUGCACACCCCUACCUGCAACUGUACAACGAGUACCAGCAAUACAAAUAGUACAACUAGUACCUGCUAGGCUGCUACAAAUCCAUUUGGAACGCUCCCUCUAGUGCCUCAGAUGUCAAUUGGUUGCGGUGGAACAAUUCCAUAUGGAAUUUCGAGCAUGCUUGUUGUUAGAUUUGGCAUUCAUGUCGUGUUUUCUGUGUUUAUGUAGUUUUCGUGUAACACCUGUUAAAAUAAACAGGUAAUAAGACUCAACCCAAACUCAUCCCGUUAAUAUUAACGGGAAAUAUGACUGACCUGUUAUCCGUUAUAAAAAAUAUAUUUGAAACCAACAAUACUCAAAUGAAAAACAUAAUAUUAAAUUAGUAUAUACAUACCACAUUAUCACAUAAAUAUUAUUUUCAAAACAUAAAAUCACAUUUAUCUUUCAAGUAUCACAUAUAUAUUGAAAAAAUAUAUAUAAACGCCCGUAAUGAUAAGUUUUACAACUUUUGUGAAGGGCUCAAGUUCGAAAUUGCCACUAUAAUAACAUAAACUAUAUAUCAAAAUUUAACCGUUAAUUGUCGUUCACAUUUAUGCUCGAUUAUUCCCACCAAAUUUUAUUUUUUUAGAUUUUUUGUUUGAAAACAUGAUCUUUUAAAGGGUGCAUGAAGAUGCGGUUCGGAUAAUUGAUAUGACGUUUAGAGUUUUACUAUUAGUGAAAAUAUUGCUCGAAAGUAUAUAAAGUCUCUAGAAAUUAUAUAACAUCGACUUAUUUUCAAUUAACUGUAAAUAUCUGAAUGUGAUAUCAAUGAUCCGAAUCGUUCAUUUUUCUACCUCUGCUAAAAGAUAAUUGUGGAGCUGAAAAUAAUCAAGAAAAUUAUAAAGGUGACACGUGGACUUGUGGGUUAAAAUGAUAAAAUUACCCUCCAGGCAUACUGGGAUUCCUACACGCACACAACGGAUAAUAACGGCUCAAUCAAGAAAGAGUCAAAGGUGAUCAAAAUGAUAUUUAUUCAAAUCUCUUUCAUCAAUCCUCAUCAAAUCCUUAUUCAAAAAGUAACUCAUAAAACUACUUAUUUAAUUUGGAAUUAAUUAUCAUGUUAAUUGUAAAAUAUUAUUUCACAUACUAUCUUGCAAUUAUUGUCCAAUUACACCAUAUAUAAUCGGUCAAUAUUCUUCAAAUAGGACUAGCCACUUCUGUAUAAAUAUCCCUAUUAUUCCAUUAAAAAGUUAAAUCAUUUACUACCCACAAAUUCUAAAAUCGUGAGAACCCGUUUUUGGUUAGGUUUCUGUGGAGUUUUAAAAUCAGAAAAUAGGAUCCUUCCCCACUUCCAUCAGCCGGCCUUCUCUAUUUUUUUCUACAAACAUCAUCAUGACUUUCAGCGGCACGAUCGUUACCUUCCACUAUUUUUAAACUUUCUCACAACUCCCUAACUCUCUUUUUCCCCACUUUCUUCCCUCAUGCCGUGUCCGUCUCUCUUUCUUCAGUGCUCAAUGUUUAUUGUUUUUUAUUAAAAGUUUUGGACCACCUUACUUCCUUCCACUCACAAAUUUUAGUAUAUUUUACUCUCUAUUCCCACUGACUUCCACUCAACUCUCCCCCCCCCCCCCCCACCCCUUUUUAUUUUAUUUUAUAUUUUCUGCUAACUCUCCCUCCCUCUAUUUACAUUUCUCUCACUUCUCUCCUUCCCUCGAACUCUCUCAUUUCCUCUGCAUGCAGAGAGCUCCGAGAGCCCCAAAAACAAGGAGCUGCUCCUCCAUUUGGUUAGUAAGCAUCCAGGAACAUCCGUUAAAAUUAGGGGUUUGGUGAGUUGGUUGUCUUGUCAAAUCUCGGAUUAUCAAUGUGAGUGGUUUAUGUAAUGUGUUGCAAAUUAUACUUAUUUGCAAAUAUCUUUAUUUCAAGUCAAGUACGUUGGAUUUGUAGAAAUGCUUAGUAUGUUGGAUUUGUAGAAAUGCUUUUGGAAUUAUUAAUAUAGUGAUAUGUGGAUAUUUGGAAUUGUUCAUGGAGCAUGAGAAUUUUAGUGUUACAUUAUUCUGAGAAAUAAAUGUAAACUGCACACGAAGACAUUAGGGCAGAAUGAUCAAUAGGAAUCAUGUGAUGAGUUACUAUUUAUGAAGGAUUUAAUGAACACGAAAAUGGAUGAUGUGAUAUGGCACUACGUGCAUAAUGACUUGAUAUUAUUAUUGUAUUUUCUAUAGUGACUAAAAUGACAUUGCUUGACUGUCAUAUUACAUAUUCUACUCACUUAGAGACUUGUUGCUCACCCUUCACCCUUUUAUUUUACAGAUGAGUUAUCUGACAAGACAGGUACUAGACGAGCUGAGAUUGUGUUAGAUAAGGAAUUUAAGAGUUUUUCUUAUUUUUGUACUUUGUAAGGAUUUGUAAUAAUUACUUGUAGAAGAGAACCUUUGUUUUACGUUUAUGAUAGUUUUACUUUUAUUCACGCACCGGGCGUGGGGUUCCGCCGACUCUGGAUUCGGGACGUGACAAAAAUACAAUCUUUUCAAAAUUUUAAGUUUGGCAUAGGAGAUUCUUUGGUCAAAGCCCCCCAUUCAUCAUGGGCGCGUGAGGCUUUAGGCUUUAAUCUUAGGUUUUAUUAUUUUGCAGGUACAUUUUCGUCAAAGGAGAAGAUGACGGAAAUUUGCAUCCACAAUAAUGUUUAAAAAAAUCUAAAAAAUGAAUUUUAGUGAGAAGAAUAAAGCGUAAAUGACAAUCGACGGUUAAAAAUAAAAAUCUAAGGUUUAUGGAUUAUGGUGAGAAAGUUAUAAAGCUUGUUAUUACGAGUGAUAGCUUCUACAAUAAUUAUUAUUAAUUUUGCACUCAAAUAAAAAAUAUUAUUCAUGAACGUUUCUAAAUCUAAACUAUGAUGUAACCAUCGUUGCGCGUGGAGGAUGUAAUCACGAAUGUUUAUAUAUUAUUUCACAUUUUUCACACUUAUACAUUAAUUAUUAUGAAUUUGUUAAUGUGUUUGGUAUUUUUCAAGUACUUUGAUAUUUUUGUUUUUAAAUGUGCUUUAUAAUGUUUUAAUCUCAAUUUUAAGAGACUAAAACAUUUAUGAGUAUGACUGUAUAAGAGAGUGAAAAUCUUUGUUAAGUCGUUGACUUUAAAAUUGAAAGUCUGUCUUUUUGCCUAUACUAAUACUAUACUAGUUGAUUUGAAUUUUGGACAACCGUUCAAGUAAAAUUUAUCCUAGUAAUGAUAAUAAGAAACUCUCAUAAUGGAAAUAAAUAAAUAAAUAAAAAUUAAUUUUUUUUUAACUUAUAUAGAAUAAUAAUACAUUAAUAAUACAAUAAAACAUAUUUAAUAUACAAUAUAUACAUUAUGGCUAGAGUUUUUAUCAUGAAUAGCCAAAAUUUAGACUCUAAUUUCACAAAUGUCAAUUUUUAUAAUAUCUUUCAAAUAAAUAAGAAAACCACCUUGAACAAACCUAAGUACCCUCAUAAUAAAAUCAAAUUACAACCAUAAACUAAAAGUUGUUUGAUCUUAUGUGUUUGUUCAAAAAAUGGAGACAGUUCAAAAGAAGAAAAAAAGAUGGAAACUUCAGAUGUCACGCCCCGAUUCCAACAUUCGUCUAGGAUCGACGUGUGACGAUCAAGUGCAGGGGGUGCGAGCAGAUACAAACAAUAUAUACAAAUGAAUACUAGUAUUGAAAUGAACAAUAUUUACAACUUGGUAGGGUUUUGUCAUAAAUAUAUAAUUGUACAACAAAGGUAACGAUUGUAGGCUCCCAAUUACGUCCUGCUUGCACUUACACGUUUGUAUUGACACGUAUUAUCCGUGUAACGACCCAUCCCAAAAAAUUACAAUUUUUUAUAAUUUUAAAAUGUGAAAGUACGAAAAUGCCCUUCAAGGUGAAUGUGUUGACAUUGUUUGACCGCCUUGUUGUGUCACGUAAGGUCCAUUUUCUUGGCAUAUCCUCUUAGUACUCGUCGUGAGGAACACGUGGGCGCAAACGGAAUCGAAUUUGAAGUUAUAAUAAAAGAGUUAUUAACGAACGAAGUUAAGGGCAAAAUGGUCAUUUGACCAUAAAUUUGGAAGGCUCCAAAUUUUGCUGAAGUAGUUAGAUGAUGCCACAUGUGUGGCUGUGAUGGAAAGAAUAGGAGAGAAAGGAGGGGGUGCUGCCCAAUCGGGAAUGAGGAGAGGAGAGAGUGACCAAUCAGAAGAGAUAACAAAGAGGGAAAGGAAGGAAGGGAGAACCGACCGACCCAACGACUUCCAUGGUUUCCAACGCCUUUCACAGCUGUUUCCAGUCGAAUUAAAGCCACUCAUCACUUAAGAAACACUCCACGACCAUCCCUCUACCAAUUCCACACUAAAAUUGAAGGAAUUAGGCUCGGAUUCUUAAUGAACCACACCAUUGGGUGUGGUGGUUCCACAACGGCGAUCCAUCAAUCCUGAAGCUAACUUCGUCAACCACCACCACCAAUAGACUUCCCUUAACCCAGGAGCAAGGCCCAAGCAUUGGAUGAGGCGUCGGAGUUCGUUUAGGCAUCGAAUUGAGAACACUCAUUUCUAGGGUUUCUAACGGAUCGAGGCGUUUGUAGGCCAUUUCCCGACCAAAUUGGACUUCGGCCCAGGUAUGGAAGUUGUUCCUCUCAUUGAGAUUUUCAUUCCUAUAAAAUUUGGUGAUUUUUGAAGUUGGUCAGAAUUUGUGGGUUCUGUUCCCCGAAAACCGCCGUGUGUGGCGGCGAUGCGUGGGGGGAAACUCAAGGUCUCUUUAGGUCUUUCGACGUGCCGAAUUCGAAUUCGUAAUCCGUUUUUCCAAAAUUUAUCAUUUAGGUAUAGUUUUACCAAAUGAUCUCAAAUUGUGGUUUGGUGCAUCGGUGGGAAGUGACUCCAUCCUCGCUAGUUCAAGCAUUUCCCGGGCAACAAAAUAUUUGUAAGUGAACCCCUUCUUAACUUGCAUGGUUUUAUAAAAUAUUAGGUUUGCAUGCAUUGCAUAUUUCAUGAAAUGAGCUUGUUUUCUAAUAUGUUUUAUGGAUUUCUAUAUUCAUGCUUUUUGAAGAACUUAUGAUUUAUUUAAAUGCUUUUACGAGAUAUUUAGGACUUAUCGAAAUUACGUUUUAAAGAAGAUUAUGAAUGAUUGGAUUUUCGAGGGAUUUACGAAUAUGACUUAUUUUACGGAUUUAUGAGUAUGUGCUAUCAUGGAUUGAUGAGAUAAGGUUUUGAGCUUAGAGCUCCGAAUUUUGAUAUGAGAUUUUUGAGAUAUGUUUUCUGUACGUAUCUAGCGAGUUAUCAUACAGCACAUCCACACAACACGGGUAUGUAGAUGUCUAUGGCCAUAUGACAUAGUUGAGGAUAUGUGAUGUAUAUUUCUUAACUCGGAGUUGUACAACUUCACCUUCGGGUGAUGGGGCCUACCAUGUUUCUUCACUAGCGUAACCCAGUGUCGUACAGCUUCACCUUUGGGUGAUGGACAUGUAUUGCCUUUGGGCGGAUGAUGAGUUGAUGAUAUUUAUGCCAUACCCCCAGCUUCACUGCCGAAAGUAGUGUCGGACAGCGUUUCAUUGUCGAAAUCAGUGUCGGUGUGUGAUGUAUAUAUUUUCUUCUUCGGCGAAACCCGAAAUCGUACAUCUUCACCUACGGAUGAUGGGGCCUACCAUGUUUCUUCACUGGCAUAACCCAGUGUCGUACAGCUUCACCUUUGGUGAUGGACAGGUACUGCCUUCAGGCGACUAUGAUACCCUUAGAGAGUAUAGUAUUGAUGAGAUUUACGGAUUUGCCUUCGGGCGGUGAUAACACAAUUAUUGAGCAUCGUUUUACAUGUACAUGUUUUACGAAUGCAUUUCAUGGCAUGCUAGAGUUUUCAAAACAAGGGGCUAGUAUGUUCAGAAAUAAAAUAGUUUUCGUAUUAUCAGUAUUAUUAUAAACUUUGCUCCACUCACCUUUUCGGUUUUACGCCCCCUCAAGAGUUAGAAUCGAGGCAUACGAUCCCUGUGUCAGGGCAUUUCUGCUUAGGCAUCUUCGAGCCUCCUCUGUGUAGGUUCCAUUCCUCGGUUCGUACCUUUCCAUAAUAAUUCUUUCAUAUUAUUCUUGAUUAGUUGUAUGUUUUGAACACGAUUCUGCAUUUGUGUAUCUCUUUCUAAUUACAUGUUUUAGUUAUAUGCGUGUUUAAAAUGGCUUCGUCGCCCUCGGGUGUCGGCCAGCACGUUCCUACCCUGAUAUUUGGGGAUAUCGGGGUUGGGGCGUGUCAAUUCGAAUAUGCCAAGAAGUGUGGCAAAACAUGGAAAGAUCAUAUGUGUCCACGUAAAACUCCGCGUAGCCCAACAAGAACAUUUUCGUCAUUUUUCAAAUUUCAAAAAAAAUUCUACAUCAUAAAUAUAAACGCGUCGAAGUACUAUAAUACGGAAUGCAGUAUUUAUAUAGUGAAAUUAGAGGAUGAGAUUUCACAGCAAAGGCUCCGCCUCUACAAGUUCUCAACCGUAAAUGCUUGAGUGAAUUGGAUAGCAAUUAAAAAUGGGAUUAACGUCUAUAAUUUCUUUGAUUUUAUAUUAUUGGCGUCAGUUUUUUGCAAUUAGGUUUUAACUUACUGCUACGCCCCAAUCCCGACAUACGUCUAGGAUCGACAUGUGAUGUCACCAAGUAUCUUUAUAUCUAACAUACCCCGCUUUCAGAAUAUGUACCAAGCACGCUCAAGCCUCAAAUUGAGUAGUGAUUUUUCGUAUACUUUAUGGCUACAUCUAACCUCCUCAUUAGACUACCUAUGUACCCUCAAUAGGGAUCAAGCCAUUUGUAGUUCACCAUUCAUUACAGUUCGACGUUUAUCACAGUACGUUCAAAUUGAAAAGCAUAGCAUUCCUCAAUCAAUUAUUAAAACUUAACAAGCAUGAAUUACCAUAUUCAUGGCUACAUAACAAACCCACAUGACAUUCAAGGUUUCCAUUCCAUCCAUCAUAUAAAUCACUAUGUUUUCAACAUGAUACCUCCAUACACAUCAUGUAACAUAUCCAAUAACCAACGAAGCACAAUAUUGUUCUCAAGCCACAUUGAUCAACUAAAAUAAUCAUAAUAUUAACAAUGAUAUCCAACGUCAUUCCACAAUCCCGUCAAUUAAUCCAUUCAUAAAUCAAGGAUGCAUGAUCUUAGCAUUUAACUACGUUAAUCAAUCAAUAUGAUAACAUAUCAUUUCACGUAUUUAAUUAAGGAACUCUAUAAAAUUCCUUACUUGGAUUAUGAGUAACAACAUGGCAAAUCUAAUUUAUAUUCACAAGGUCAAAUGUGGAUAAUUCCCAUUCACUCGAAUCUAGGGUUCUAGAAUAACCUUUUGGAAAUGAGCAAGAGUAAGGAUUCCGGACCACUCAAGGGAACCAAAAUAUCAAUCGGUUUCUCGUAAUCUACCCAGACCUGUCGCAUGUAAAAUUAGUGCCUACAUCAUGGAAAUGGUGCACUGGGCAAAUCAGAACUUGGAUAAGCUGCAAAGCUCGGGUGAGUAACAAUAAUACAAGUAUGCGGUAUUCAAUAAAAACAGACCAUCAAUCAUAAUCUAUAAACAUCAAGUAUAGAAUCAUGCUUUAUGAAAUCAUAAUCAAGCUGCUGAAAACUCCGAAGGAGUCACCCAGACAUCCAACGACUUUUCUAAUUCAAACCACAAUAUUCUCAAAAACCAUUGUUCAUAUGUGCAUUAAAAACUAGGGCUAGAUGGAUGCAGUUCGGCCGAAGCCUACAUAAGUAACCAAACAGGAAGUGACCCCCCAAAGCGGAUUAACCAAGCAGAGCCACCCCUAAGAAAGUAACCAAGUAGGCAGUGACCCCCUAAUGCAAAUUGACCAAGCAGAGUCACUCCUACAACUGUUAGGAAGUGAUCACCCAAUGCGGAUUAACCAAGCAUGAUCACUCUUAAGCAUGCAUGGCCAUAGGAUCAUCCAACACGGAUUAACCAAGUGCGAUCCAUAUAUAGUAUGGAUUAACCAAGCAUACAUGGCCAUAAGGAUCACCCAACGUGGAUUAACCAAGCAGGACCAUUAAUGACCCCCAAUGCGGAUUAACCAAGCAGGGUCAAGAUAAUUAGGUAAGUAGUGACCCCCCAACGCGGAUUAACCAAGCAAAGUCACACCUACAGACCUGUUAGGCAGUGAUCACCCAACGCGGAUUAACCAAGCAUGAUCACCCCUAAGUAUAAAUGGCCAUACUGAUCGCCCAACGUGGAUUAACAAAACGCGAUCCAUAUAUAGUAUGGUCCCCCAAUGCGGAUUAACCAAGCAUGGUCAUAGUCCCCUACUAGCCCUCAAUUUACAAAACAUUUCAAUAUGCAAUUCGAAUCACUUUUUCACAAAUAUUACCAAUCCAUGAAUCAAAUCACAUUUAAUAAAAAUAGAUUGAUGGCCAAUUAUAAAAUAAUCACAUUUUAACAAAAAACACAUUUAUAAAACCAUGUCAUAUCCACAAAGGAUAUUAAUAUAAAGAAUCGGGUAAUCACCAUAUCACAUAUACUAAAGUUACUUACCGAGACAAGUCCGCAAAGCUUCACUGAGUCUCUAGUAAUACUAAUUUUAGUAAUUCAAAUGGUUCAAGACCUGUUGACCAAAAGUCGACGGUGAGGUCCACACCCUAGCAAUUUAAUCAGGAAGAUCCGCACAUCAUAAUCUAGAUCUGUAACUUCCUAUGGUCCACAUUAUGCUCAAAGAACAACAUACUAAAAUCUCAUCGCGAUCCGACGGUUAGAUCUUCGCCAAUUGCUAGAAUUUGGUGACGGUUAACAAUUAAUUUUACUAACUUAGAAAUCUAAUUUAGGAAGAUCCGUACUUGGUUACGAUCCAACGGUCGAAUUGGCGAUUUAUAUUUUGAUCAAGUAAUUUAUCGCAAUGAAACUAAUUUCAAACAAUCAAAUUACGUCAUACGGCUAUCAAUUAUGGAAUCAGAACAUCUAAUUAAACUUAGGAAGACAUCAUCGGCCCACUGGCUUCGUGCCGCCGUGGGUGGCGGUUGACCGUCCCGGCUCGUCGGAAAAUUCAACUAUUUUAAAAAAUUACCAAAUUUUACAGGCAAUUAGAUCUCAGUGAGGGGAUAAAUUUUUAUACCUGUGGCCAAGUCCAAUUCGGCCGGGAAGUGUCCCAAUUUCAUCCAAACUUGCCGAAAACCCUAGAAAUGGGUGUUCCUCGAUUCAUCGCUAAAACGAACUCCGACACCUCAUCCAAUGCUUGGGCCUUGCUCCAGGGGUUGAAGGGAGUCUAUUGGUGGUGUUGAUAGACGGUAAUCAUUGUCGGAAUUACCAUAAAAUGAGAAAACUCGUCGGAAAAUCGUGGACUUUGUGGCUUCGUUUGUAAAAUUGGGUUAGAGAUUGAAAAAUAUAAUACCACAAAGAUGUUGGGUUCGCCGAGGGCUUUCCAUAGACACCAAAAUCACCUCAAUCGGAUGUCGGACGGAAGAGAUACAACCGGAUCAAAGAACUGGGUUGGGGUUUGAAAUCUGGUCAAGGUUGCUUGGGUGUUUCCUCCCCUCUCUCCUUUCCCUCCUUCUUCCCCCUUCUGAUUGGUUCCCUUAACUCACGUAAAUAUAAUUGACCUCUUUGGGAAUUUAAAAUAAAUUUAAAAUCUAUAGUUUAGUAACAUAACUUCAAAUGUCCAUAUCUAUACCGUUAUAAUCCGGACUCGCAAACAACUUUUGCUUAUGCGCUCGUAGUGUCAAGAUUUAUUUGAAUACGUUACUUGUGACCUCAAAAGGUCAACGAAUUUUAGAUAAUUACUUUCCAAACUUCAAACUUUGUAACUAAUUUAAUUAAAAUCUAAAUCCAAAUAAAUUAAUAUAAUUUCUUAAAAAAUAAUAUAAAAUCUCAAUAAUACAAAUACGUAGAUUAUAAUAAUAAAAUUCAGGAAUGUGAUUUCACACUUAUGGGCUUCAAAUCGUCUCCAGAUCUAUUACUUCUAGAUCCUCGGGGUCAAAACAUCAUGGUCGUCAAUAAUAAACAGUGUGGCCCCAGAAAUCACCUGGGAGAGGGAGCAGUUGGAAUCGCCUAAAAUUGCCGAAGUUCGGCUUAGAUACAACUCGAAUCAGUUAGGGAGUUCCAUUCCACUGAGGGUUCCUCGUUUUCAUGUCUUAGUUUAUAUGGAGUUCCUAAACGAAAAGGACAUGGGAAGCAAGGGCGUUUGCAGCAGAAUGGGUGGGCUAAUCUUAUCGGGAAGCAAGGGUGUUUGCAGCAGCUUUCAGAGGAGAAAAGAGAGGGUUCAUUUGAUGGUAGAUCCAUUGAUGAUUGUAGAGGAUUUCAAAACUGUAGGGUUCUUAAUGAUUGCAGAGGAAAAGGGAAGGAGAAAACAUGUUGAAGUGAGAGAUUGAUUUUUACACACGAUUUAUUACUGACGACCAGGAUGUUUUGAUCAUGGGUAGGGAUGGGCAAAUACCCAUUGAUUAUGGGUAACUGUGGUUACCCGUCCAUUUAAAUUAAACGGUUACGAUUAUGGGUAACCGUUUAGAUAAAUAAACGGUUAUAGGUAUAACCGUUUACUCGCGAAAUUUAAAUGGGUGGUUAUGGGUAUUAACCACGGUUAUAAAUGGAUAACCGUUUACCCAUUUAUUUGUAUAUGUAAAACUAACACAAACCAUGUUCUCGAUCCAAUAAUACUUAGCACCCAAUAAAUUAGCAAGGAAUUCAUAGGUCAUUCUCUCAAUAAUACUACUACGAUGAUUCUCAUCAUCAAGGAAUUGGCCAAAUUAAUUUAAAUUCCUUGCGAGUAACCGUGAAAUUGACAGAAAUGCUUUGACAGAAAUGUCAUCUAAACAAAUUUUGUAACCCAAUAAUACUUAGCAAAUAUUAUAUUUACCUUCAUUGGUAACAAUUAAAAAUAUCAUUCGUAAACUAUUAUUUCAAUUAUUGGAAUGGUAUAAGGACUUAAAAAAUUAAAAUAUGGAAAUGUAUGAUGAAUGUACUUAUAACGGUGUUUAAUUGUCAAAAAAAAAAUUAUGACAAUUUUUUUUUAAUUUUCAAGUUGUUAAAAAACAUGUAAACGAGUGAAAAAAGGGUAAUGGUAAAAAAAAAAAAAGAUAAACAUGUUAAAAAUGAUAAAUGGGUAAACGGGUAUUAAACGGUUACGGUUAAAUGUGUGUGCGGUUAUGAGUAUGGUUAACUGUUUAUAAACGGUUAUGGGUAUAGGUAUAACCGUUUAGACAAUUACCCAACGGGUAAACGGUUAUGCGGGUAUGAGCAUAAACGGUUAUGGGUAAAUUAACCGCGGUUACCCGUCCGCAUAACCAUUGCCCAUCCCUAGGUGAUGCCUUGAGCUUUAGCAUGAAUAUGUAGUUUUUAUUUAAUUGCUUAUGAUAUUAUGCAUGCAUACUUUGAAUUAUUAAUCACUGUGCUUAAACUAUCUUUGUGUCUUAAUGAUUCACGACUAUUAGGAUGUUUAGAUAAGUAAUUAGAUGCAAUUUGGUCGGAAUACCACCGGGGAAUUGAGUAUUGCUUCUUGUGAUUAAUAGUUGUAAUUUCACCUAAGAUGAAUACCACAUCUUAGGAGUUGCAUGGUUUUUCAAAAGGUUUUCACAAAACGUAAUGAGUCAUGCAUGUUUAUAUUUGAUCUGAAUACUACAGAUAGAUUGCAUGUUUGAUAUACGUUCUAACUUGAAUACCACGAGUAGAAUAUGCAUUAGGAAAACCUAACCUUCAAAGUUGCAUGGAUAAUUCAUAAGUAAUUAGUAAAUCUACGUAGGAUUGUUAAGAGGAUGGUGGAACCCUAGUACCUUCUUACUUUGAAUUCUAAAAAUUGUUUUUUUUUCCUUCUUUAAAAAUUGCAGAUUUUAGUUAACCUUUUUAAUUAAAUUCGUUUUUCUUAAUUUAGGUCAUUAAAUCAUCAUUUUCCAAAACUUUAUUCUAAAUAAUUAGUUGAGAUUUGAUUUGCGUUAAUUUAUUUAAAUUAAUCCCUAUGGAGAACGACUUUGCUUGAGCCAAUUAUACUACAAUAACCUUAUUUCUCUUGCAAGUUAUACAACAAUAACCUUGUUUCUCUUGCAAAUAUUUUAGUUGUUUUUAACCCUUUUUACGCAAGUGGUAAAAAUCCUAUCAAUAAUCAUUUGAUAACUAAUUUAAUCACAUUAUUAUUAGCAUGGGAAAGAUUUUUUUUUAUAAUCGGCAUUACACUUCUCUUAAGAUGUUUUGAACGGCUUGAUAACACCAAAAUCACUAUUCACAACGUAUGAUGAAUCAAAUUAUUGUUAGCCUAUUGUUAGGUACUAAUAAAAAAAAAAACUAAUUUAUCACUGGCACUACACGCCUCUUAAGAUGUUUCGAACACAAUAUUCAUGAUUUUCAUUUUUUAUUAUAUUUUCUUUCCCCUUCACGUGGGCACAUCAACUUUCACUCAUCAUUCCAUCUUUUUAUUCUUCUCUCUCUACUCAUAUUUAUAUUAUAUUUUAUGAUGACCAAAUUACCUCUGCAUUAUUUGAUAUAUUAUAUUGAGCUGCUUUAGAAUUUUUUUGGUUGAGGGGCAAUUUUGUCCUCAUCUUUUUGUUGAAGCGAUGACCCCAAAUUAGGGCUCUGGCUUUAUAUAUAAGAAAUUUUAUACCAUUGAAAUUGAGGGAAGUUGCAAUCUAACACAGAACCUCAAACGAGAAUCGAAUACAAAACCUCAUCGUCUACGUCAAGCAAAAUAUAAUCAAUGAUGUAAAGACUUGUAUAAAAACAAAGAAUUUCAAAGAUGAAAGAGGAAGAUAUAAAUACAGGUCAAAGAAACAUCAUUUACCGAAAUAUUUACAAGUUACAAUCCAACAAGGUGUCACAAAAAUCAAGUUUACGUACAUCAACACAGAAAUACGAACACAACUAUAAUCAUACAAAAGAAAAGGAAACAAGCAAAAUACAAAAGGGAAAAAGAGGGGAUUGUCACUCCUACAUAGGAAAAACUUGAGCGUAACUGGGAAUUUUCCGCUCUGCCUCUAUCUCUGACUUAUGUGGGAGAUAGAGUCAGGGUGGAUAAAUCCCCCAUUACACGCUAUAAUCCCCGCUAGCUUGGGUACCUGUCGCUACCACAUCUACGACUACCAGUUAUUCAGGGAGGUGAGCGAGAACCGCUUCAAAAUCAAUCCGCAUCACAAGACCAAGCACUUGCCUUCUCAAAACCUGAUGAUGUGGGAUAAGAAUGCACAUAAUCCUCAAACUCACCACCCUUCUUCCCAUCAUAAGCCCCGGGAGACGCCACUGCGUCCGGCAGCGCUGCCUCACCCUCCAAGUACCUCACCACCUGCCUCAUUGUGGGCCUUGCCUUGGGGGUAUUAUUUGAGCACAUCAGCCCUAGCUUCAGCACCACCACAGCCUCCAGAUCAUCAAACUCAGCCCCCAAUCUGGGGUCCACAACUUCAAGAAUUGCACCAGCCUUCCACUUCUCCCAAACCCAAUCAACCAAUAUCAGCUCCUCCGGCAGGGCUUUUCGUUCAAUGGGUCUCCUCCCACACACCAGCUCCAGCAGGAGAGCACCAAGAGCAAACACAUCCGAACUCGGAGUUGGUUUUCCGGUCCGAGUCAACUCGGGAGCUAGGUAACCCAGUGUCCCAACAACCCUAGUUGUUGUAGGGUUUGCUCCAUGCUCAUACAAUUUAGCAAGACCGAAAUCUCCAAGCCUUCCAUUCAUCUCAGAAUCCAAAAGCACGUUUCCUGUUUUUAU
rnacentral:lncRNA from 1 species